CGCUUGCCACUUUGUGGUUCAUGACUGGGGUGAAGUCGUAACAAGGUAGCGCUAGGGGAACCUGGCGCUGGAUCACCUCCUUACACGA
rnacentral:rRNA from 1 species